rnacentral:rRNA from 1 species
CCUACGGGAGGCAGCAGUGAGGAAUAUUGGUCAAUGGCCGGGAGGCUGAACCAGCCAAGUCGCGUGAGGGAAGACGGCCCUACGGGUUGUAAACCUCUUUUGUCAGGGAGCAAGGUGCAGGUCGGGACCUGCUGGGAGAGUACCUGAAGAAAAAGCAUCGGCUAACUCCGUGCCAGCAGCCGCGGUAAUACGGAGGAUGCGAGCGUUAUCCGGAUUUAUUGGGUUGAAAGGGUGCGCAGGCGGAGGCAACAGUCAGCGGUAAAAUCUCGGGGCUCAACCCCGCUCCGCCGUUGAAAAUGUGUGCCUUGAGUGCGCGAAGGGUAGGCGGAAUGCGUGGGGUAGCGGUGAAAUGCAUAGAUAUCACGCAGAACUCCGAUCGCGAAGGCAGCCUACCGGCGCGCAACUGACGCUCAUGCACGAAAGCGUGGGUAUCGAACAGGAUUAGAUACCCUUGUAGUC